GAGCCCCUGGUGGCUGGAGGUUGAUCCUCUCUCUAUUCUGUGCUCAGCUUAGCAUUCCUUUGGCUCUUUCUGAAUCAGUGAUUAAUGUUUGCCUUUAUAGCUCAGAGAAAUUUGUCAUCUUGAGAUUAGUAAUAUGUCAGCGGCGUGUGCCCUACCUACAGCACAAGCUAGCUGUGGGGACUGCAAGGAUCAGGCACGGUGCCUGUCUUGGUAUCUACAAGAGUAAGGAGCACCUUCUUCUCACCCCUACAAAGCGCUGCCCAGAGAUGAGAGCGGCCGUUGUUUAUCGGACAUUAGCUUUUACUCAUUUCCAAGGGAAACGCUGGAAAGGAAAACAAAUGAAUGAAUGCUGCUUAGUCACAACCCUGGGGGAAAUUGGAGGUGCCACUACAUGGAAAGUCAACAAAGAGUCUUCAGCCAUCUUCUCCAUUACACUAUCAUUUAUUAGCCCAGGACCACCAGCCCAGGUCUGUAGCAGUAAAGAGGCCCACUGAUGUCCAUCAUGAACUAUGAAAACUCAACGCAGGUCAAUCCAGUGGGGGCAUUUUCUCAGUGAAGGUUCCUUCUUCCUGGUGGAUGGCUUUGAAUGGCAUUGCUUGCCAAGGUUCAGCUGUAAGGGCGGGAUGCCAAACUCCUGUGCUUGUCACAUCAGAACCAAGACUCCCACUGGCACAGCAUGACCAGCCGAAGAGAGCCUCUGAAUUCUCGGGAAAGUUCCCUUCCUGAGAUGUCUGGACUUGCCAGAAGCCUUUCUCUCAAGCUAAUGUUAAAAGCAGGGCUAAAGGGUCAGCUACAGCUGAAUUCAAAUCCUUGGUCACCCUCUUGUCAUUGGAUAAAUGAUUUAAAUAACUUACUUGAUCAAUAGGACCCUCAGUGUCCUUUUUU
rnacentral:lncRNA from 1 species